GAUGAACGCUAGCUACAGGCUUAACACAUGCAAGUCGAGGGGAAACGACAUCGAAAGCUUGCUUUUGAUGGGCGUCGACCGGCGCACGGGUGAGUAACGCGUAUCCAACCUGCCCAUCACUUGGGAAUAACCUUGCGAAAGUAAGACUAAUACCCAAUGACAUCCCACGAAGACAUCUGAAUGGGAUUAAAGAUUUAUCGGUGAUGGAUGGGGAUGCGUCUGAUUAGCUUGUUGGCGGGGUAACGGCACACCAAGGCAACGAUCAGUAGGGGUUCUGAGAGGAAGGUCCCCCACAUUGGAACUGAGACACAGUCCAAACUCCUACGGGAGGCAGCAGUGAGUAAUAUUGGUCAAUGGGCGAGAGCCUGAACCAGCCAAGUAGCGUGCAGGAUGACGGCCCUAUGGGUUGUAAACUGCUUUUAUAAGGGAAUAAAGUGGGUCUCGUGAGACUUUUUGCAUGUACCUUAUGAAUAAGGACCGGCUAAUUCCGUG
rnacentral:rRNA from 1 species